rnacentral:rRNA from 1 species
UACGUAGGGCGCGAGCGUUGUCCGGCAUUAUUGGGCGUAAAGAGCUCGUAGGCGGCCUGUUGCGUCCGCUGUGAAAUCCCAGGGCUCAACCCUGGGCGUGCAGUGGAUACGGGCAGGCUGGAGGCAGGCAGGGGAGAACGGAAUUCCCGGUGUAGCGGUGAAAUGCGCAGAUAUCGUGAGGAACACCAGAGGCGAAGGCGGUUACCUGGACAGUUACUGACGCUCAGGCACGAAAGCGUGGGGAGCAAACAGG